GACGAACGCUGGCGGCGUGCUUAACACAUGCAAGUCGAACGGAAAGGCCCUGCUUUUGUGGGGUGCUCGAGUGGCGAACGGGUGAGUAACACGUGAGUAACCUGCCCUUGACUUUGGGAUAACUUCAGGAAACUGGGGCUAAUACCGGAUAGGAGCUCCUGCUGCAUGGUGGGGGUUGGAAAGUUUCGGCGGUUGGAGAUGGACUCGCGGCUUAUCAGCUUGUUGGUGGGGUAGUGGCUUACCAAGGCUUUGACGGGUAGCCGGCCUGAGAGGGUGACCGGCCACAUUGGGACUGAGAUACGGCCCAGACUCCUACGGGAGGCAGCAGCGGGGAAUAUUGCACAAUGGGCGGAAGCCUGAUGCAGCAACGCCGCGUGCGGGAUGACGGCCUUCGGGUUGUAAACCGCUUUCGCCUGUGACGAAGCGUGAGUGACGGUAAUGGGUAAAGAAGCACCGGCUAACUACGUG
rnacentral:rRNA from 1 species